UACGUAGGGUGCGAGCGUUGUCCGGAAUUAUUGGGCGUAAAGAGCUCGUAGGCGGUGUGUCACGUCGUUCGUGAAAACCUGCAGCUUAACUGUGGGCGUGCGGUCGAUACGGGCAUCACUGGAGUUCGGCAGGGGAGACUGGAAUUCCUGGUGUAGCGGUGAAAUGCGCAGAUAUCAGGAGGAACACCAGUGGCGAAGGCGGCCAACUGGUCCGGUACUGACGCUGAGGUGCGAAAGCGUGGGGAGCAAACAGG
rnacentral:rRNA from 1 species